GACGAACGCUGGCGGCGUGCCUAACACAUGCAAGUCGAGCGAACAGACGAGGAGUUUGCUCCUCUGACGUUAGCGGCGGACGGGUGAGUAACAUGUGGAUAACCUACCUAUCAGACUGGGAUAACUUCGGGAAACCGGAGCUAAUACCGGAUAAUAUAUUGAACCGCAUGGUUCAAUAGUGAAAGACGGUUUUGCUGUCACUAAUAGAUGGAUACGCGCCGCAUUAGCUAGUUGGUAAGGUAACGGCUUACCAAGGCAAGGAUGCGUAGCCGACCUGAGAGGGUGGUCGGCCACACUGGAAGUGAGACACGGUCCAGACUCCUGCGGGAGGCAGCAGUAGGGAAUCUUCCGCAAUGGGGGAGAGCCUGACAGAGCAACGCCGCGUGAGUGAUGAUGGUCUUCGGAUCGUAAAGCUCUGUUAUUAGGGGAGAACAAAUGUGUAAUUAACUAUGCACGUAUUGACGGUACCUGGUCAAAAAGCCACGGCUAACUACGUG
rnacentral:rRNA from 1 species